CUCAGAUGAUCACACCCACUUUGCUUCACUUUCAUGUCCAGAGCUGCUUAGACUGAUUUCUGCAAAGUGCACAGGCAUUUUCAUGCUGAGGAUAAAGGACCAUGAUCGCUUGUCUGGACCCAGAAAAUAUUUCCCAUUUGCUGCACAGAUGCCGUCUCAUCCUUCCAGAGUUCAAGACUUCAGCAGAAAAAAAAUCACCUCAUUAAAGGAAAAUUGUGCCUUAUCCCCACUACUCGAAGAUGCAACCAUCUCCCUGGUCACAGCCACUUUUUUCCUUUUUUUCUCACUCCAUUGUAUGUGUGUGUGGUGGGGCAGGGGAUAAGGGGAAUAAUCUCUCUCCAGUAUAAGAAGGAGAUAGAAGUUCAUGAAGCAGAAGCACAACAGGUGGUGGUUUGUCCUUUAAGCAAGUACUCAAUAGUUAAGGCUGAUCUCUUUGACUCUUCACUGGGAGCAGAAAAAGAAAGAGAGAUGCUGAAGAUGGAAGAAUGGACACAAUAGCAUUUGCUAUCCCUUCGUAUGUCUUGAGAUCUAGUACAAAGAUUCUGGGACAAGAAUAUUCGUGCUUUGUUUAGGGAACAGCAAGAGAAGUCACAGUUACUGGAGCAGAGUGACAGAUAAAGGGAGAGGUAAGAAAACAGGUAUAAAGGGAGUGAGAGACCAGCUCAUGGUAAGGAUUUUUUUUUUUUUUCACUUUCAGUACUUACCAUUUUAUUCUUCCUGUUUAUCUUCAACUUCAUACCCUUAACCAAUAUCUUCCCAUUCAC